rnacentral:SRP_RNA from 1 species
GCCGGAUGCAGUGGCACACACCCGGUAGUCCCUGCUAUUCAGGAGGCUGAGGCAGAAGGAUCGCUUGAGUCCAGGAGCUCUGGGCUGUAGUGCACUAUGCUGAUCGGGUGUCUGCACUAAGUUCUGCAUCAAUAUGGUGACCUCCUGGGAAGCAGGGGACCACCAGGUUGCCUAAGGAGGGGUGAAUGGGCCCAGAUUGGAAACGGAGCAGGUCAAAACUCCUGUGCUGAUCAUAAAAUCUUUUGUCUCUCCACAGUGUUCUGAGGGUUGGCAUCCAAAUGCAGUGGAGCUUCU